UUCCACCUGGAACGCUUACCUCUGCAUCUCCGGUGGUGUGCGAGGAGGUCUGGUGGAGAGUCAGGACUUUCACUAUCAGCCAGCAGUAAUAAAACCAUGCCACCCAAGUGUUAAUGGAGACCACCUGGGGAGCCAGAGCUCCUACCACUGCCAGGAAGUAACAAGGAACUCUCCCCACAACCUGCAUCAUCACUUUGGGUGUCAAGAAAGGCUCAGUGGGAAAUCUGGCCUUUUACCUCCAUUUGCCAGUAACAAGCAAGUGCCAUUCCUCCCCCUGCUGAAGUGGCAUUAAAGAAAUGAAGUUAAAACAAGAG
rnacentral:lncRNA from 1 species